AUUGAACGCUGGCGGCAUGCCUUACACAUGCAAGUCGAACGGCAGCACGGGAGCAAUCCUGGUGGCGAGUGGCGAACGGGUGAGUAAUAUAUCGGAACGUGCCCAGUAGUGGGGGAUAACUGCUCGAAAGAGCAGCUAAUACCGCAUACGACCUGAGGGUGAAAGGGGGGGAUCGCAAGACCUCUCGCUAUUGGAGCGGCCGAUAUCAGAUUAGCUAGUUGGUGGGGUAAAGGCCUACCAAGGCAACGAUCUGUAGUUGGUCUGAGAGGACGCCCAGCCACACUGGGACUGAGACACGGCCCAGACUCCUACGGGAGGCAGCAGGGGGGAAUUUUGGCCAAUGGGCGCAAGCCUGAUCCAGCAAUGCCGCGCGCAGGAAGAAGGCCUUCGGGUUGUAAACUGCUUUUGUCAGGGAAGAAAUCCUCUAGGUUAAUACCCUUGGGGGGAUGACGGUACCUGAAGAAUAAGCACCGGCUAACUACGUGCCAGCCGCCGCCGUAAGAC
rnacentral:rRNA from 1 species